rfam:Homo sapiens chromosome 17, GRCh38 reference primary assembly.
GCCAGGCGUGGUGGCACAUGCCUGUAAUCCCAGCUACUGGGGAGGCUGAGGCAGGAGAAUUGCUUGAACCCAGGAGGUGGAGGCUGCAGUGAGCUGACAUCGAGCUACUGCACUCCAGCCUGGGUGACAGAGUGAGACUCUGUCAAAAAAAAAAAAAAAAAAAAAAAUUUCCCCCGUGCUGUGGUUUGUCUUUUUUUGUUGUUAUUGUUUGAGACAAGGUCUGACUCUUUUGCUCAGGUUGGAGUGCAGUGGUAUGAUCAUAGCUCACUGUAGCCUCAACCUCCUGGGCUCAAGCAGUCCUCCGGCCUCAG